AGUGAACGCUGGCGGUAUGCCUAACACAUGCAAGUCGAACGGCAGCACAGUAAGAUCUUGCUCUUACGGGUGGCGAGUGGCGGACGGGUGAGGAAUACAUCGGAAUCUACUUUUUCGUGGGGGAUAACGUAGGGAAACUUACGCUAAUACCUCAUACGACCUACGGGUGAAAGCAGUGGAUCUUCGGACCUUGCGCGAUUGAAUGAGCCGAUGUCGGAUUAGCUAGUUGGCGGGGUAAAGGCCCACCAAGGCGACGAUCCGUAGCUGGUCUGAGAGGAUGAUCAGCCACACUGGAACUGAGACACGGUCCAGACUCCUACGGGAGGCAGCAGUGGGGAAUAUUGGACAAUGGGCGCAAGCCUGAUCCAGCCAUACCGCGUGGGUGAAGAAGGCCUUCGGGUUGUAAAGCCCUUUUGUUGGGAAAGAAAAGAAGCAGAUUAAUACCCCGCUGUUCUGACGGUACCCAAAGAAUAAGCACCGGCUAACUUCGUA
rnacentral:rRNA from 1 species